CAGGACAACUCGUUCAUUGUGUCCCCCUGGAAGAACAGGUAAAUUUGCAUAAUGCUUUCUAUAUUAUUGUUACUACUAAAAUUAUUUUUUAAAUGAUGACUGGACAGUACCCUAAAAUGGUUGACUUACAGCUGUAUAAUUCCUGCACUUGGGGAGUUUCGUGCCUAAUAAAGCAGGCAUUAUAAAUUUGGAAUGAGAUAAUACCACUAAAGUUAUGAAGGUAUAAAACAUGCAAAUCAUAGGAUGAUUUUAGGUAUUAAAAAAGGAAGGGCAUAGCAAGUUGUGUGGGCUUGAGACAUUGCAUCUUAGGUAUGUUCAUUUCCCAGACAUUGCCAGCCAAAGUAAUCUUUCUUACAGAAGACUAAAACCAGGCAUUUCUGAGGGAAGGAAGGAAAAAGGCUGGACGUCUUGAAGGCAUCAUCAGAACCUUACUUUGGGAGAAGGCUUAGUAAUGAAAGAGGAAUGGUUGGGAGCCCUGGGCAUGGAGGUGACUUGCUGGAGGAGAAUAUGGUAGACUGGAGAGGGUUAAGAGACAGAGCAGAUAGGGCAAAGUGAGCUUUCCCCAUGGACUGUGAACCUAGGAGAGCCUGCAGGAUAAAGUGUCAAUGAGGAGGAAGUGGAAGUGAUGGGGUCCAUGGGAAAAUAAAGGAAGCAGCCCCAGUGUUCUACUGUGUGGUUAUUGACCAUAGGCUUUCUUAGGAAGUUUCAGAGCCAUGUAAAGGCAGAUGGAAAGUCUUAAUUUUCAGAAAUCAGAGGACCAGACAGAAGAGGCCACAAUAAUUCAGGUGAAUGACUGCCAGGUCCUUCCCUGAGACUGUAGGUGUGAGGUGAGGGGAAAAAAAAAAAGCCAUAAAGUUAAUAGAUGCGAAGGAAAUAAUCAACAGAAAAGCAACAGCCUUGACAAAACCCAACACCGUGGAAGAAGGACUCAGAAACAGUAAGGGAUAGGAAGGAAUUAAAAAUUGUUUGAAGAUUUUUGCUUAUUUGAUGGAGGAAUUACAGGUAGAGCCAGACUCAGUGAGGUUAUAGAGUAAAUUCUAGACAGAGGACCAAACAUACUCAUUGCAUGGUUUUCCUUCUGAAUCUGGAAUGAAGAAAGAGAAAAAGGCUGUUUCUUUACACUUUGAUUUAUACCAUUCAUUUUAAAUCCAGGAUCACAGAGUAUUAACAUCUACUAACAUGUGGAAGUUACAUGAAGCUAAAAGCACCUUUUAAUCCCCUGGCUCCCACACGCUGGAGUUCUUUGAGCCCAUAUCAUUCAGCAUUGUUUCGGGAGACACGGCGGAGAGAAACUGCUGUCUGUGUGGUAACCAAAGGCAGAGACUUUGUAUUACUGAACCUCAGAUUGAAUCUUGACUGUGGUUCUGUUCUAGUGAAUAGAGCAGAAACAGAAAUGAAUCACUUGUCUCCAGAAAUUGUCAUUCUGACUUUGCUUUUGGAGACACUGGCAUGUGUACUGUGGCUGGAACAAUUCUGCUUUGAUUUGUUGUCAAAUACUUGAUAUUGGCCUUUGAAAGAGAAGGAAAAUAUUGUGUGAUUCAAAUGGGCUUUUCAUUUGAAAAAAGAAGACUGUGGAUAAACUCUCUCUUCUAAUUAUUACCACAUUUUUUUUUUGUCUUUUUAGGGCCCCACCUGCAGCAUAUGGAGGUUCCCAGGCUAGGGGUCGAAUUGGCGCUGUCGCCGCCAGCCUACGCCACAGCCACAGCAACGCUUUAACCCACUGAGCAAGGCCAGGGAUUGAACCUGCAUCUUCGUGGAUACUAGACAGAUUCUUUCUGCUGUGCCACAAUGGGAACUCUUCACAGAGCAUUUUUGUAUAUAAUAUCCUAAAUCUUAGGAAAUAUAACAGGAUUUUAGUCUAGCUGGAAAUUCUGGAAGAGAAACUUAUCAGGUAGAAGCCCCUCAUGUCAAAGUUACUAUGAAGGCUGAACCUGGAGGAAGGAUUUUGAAGGUCAAGAAGGCUAGGUAGUGACAAAGCCAGGAGAAUUUCAAUUCUCUUUGUAUCCAGAUGAGCCUCUUUUUACGCCCUGCUGUCCCUUCCAAGUGUAGGAGAUUCUAAAUGGUUAAAAACUAGUUGCACAUAUAAUUGCCACUGACCAGUAAAUCAUAUCUCAUAUUUGAUGUCUCAUAAUGUGACCACACACCUUAUCACAAAAGCAUUAUUCCAAAACAUAGCAUAAGCACUCAAGUCAUGAUUGAUAGGGUUUAAAUAGGAAUUAAGGAAGAU
rnacentral:lncRNA from 1 species